UACGUAGGGGGCAAGCGUUAUCCGGAUUUACUGGGUGUAAAGGGAGCGCAGGCGGCAGCGCAAGUCAGAAGUGAAAGCCCGGGGCUUAACUCCGGGACUGCUUUUGAAACUGUGCGGCUAGAUUUCAGGAGAGGUAAGCGGAAUUCCUAGUGUAGUGGUGAAAUGCGUAGAUAUUAGGAGGAACACCAGUGGCGAAGGCGGCUUACUGGACUGAUAAUGACGCUGAGGCUCGAAAGCGUGGGGAGCAAACAGG
rnacentral:rRNA from 1 species